UGGAACAGGGUGCGGUAACGUUUCACUCAUCCUGUUGUUCCCGGAUAUUCAAUCCUUAACUCGUUUGUUGACCUGUUUAUUUCACAGCAUUGUUUCACAGUUUCACAGCAUUGCUCAUUUUCAGUGGACACAUUAAAACAACCUGUAACUUUAAAACUUCUACCUGGAAGUUACACUCACAGUUUGGAUAAUAACCUGAGGAACGAACUGAACAAUGCCUAAUCUUUCCAACAACCUGUUGGAUGAUGGAGCUCUGAGUCAGAACUUGUUGACAUGCAGGGCUCAGCGCUGUAAUAAUGUUGGUGAUUGUGUAAUUCGGAACGGAUUGCAGGUUUGUAAGUGUAUGCUGGGCUACAGAGGAGACGCGUGCCAAGAAACGGUCAAUGAAGGACUAGCCAUCCCUCUCACACUGGGAGUCCUGGGUUUCAUUGUUGCCUUUAUUAUCCUGGCAUUUGCUCUAGCAUUUGUCCAGCAAAGGAGAAGGGAACGUAUAUGGGAAAAAACUAAUGAGGAAAAGGAGGCCUUGAAAAACAAUGGAAAUUUAUCUCACACAAAAAUAGGUUUGUGACCACUUCACUCCAACACAAGAUAAAACACCAAUAAAAGGAAAAAGGGAGUUUUUGUAUGUCUAAAGUAUUUCAACGAAGAUGAAUACUCAUUGUCGUUGUUUGCUUGGAAGCAUGCCUUAAAGGUUUGGGACCUUUAUGCUUAAUACAAAAUCCUCAUUUCUGCUUUUAAAGGAAAGAAAACGGGUGUCUUGUGCUUGGGUGCUCCUUGAAAGACUCAGCUUGCUGAAUGGUAAUGACUGAUAUUUUGUGCAUGCCUUCCUGUUUUGCCAAAUGUGUUCUCAGUGGGAUUUUUUUGACGUGAAAUGUCAGCGAUACUAUCUCAUCUCACUCUCAAUCUCGUACCUGAGACAAUGACUAUGCAGUAUCUUACUUAAAAUGUCAAGUAUUUCUGAAAUGUGUUUGACUUUAAAUAGUUUCAAAUCCUACUGGCCAGUUGAAACCAUGCAGCAUUUUAGAUUAGAUUAGCUUACAGAUUUGUGUAUUGGGUGGUUUGUGUAGCUCUUGUACUUUUGAUGAACACAUUUCAUGUUACUUAAGCCUUUUGACAAAAGCACUAGAAUUAGAUGGUCCACUGUAUUCGCACUUCAAAAACCGGCCAUGAAAAAAUCGUUAAUGGCAUUUUUAUGUUCCAAGGUUGUCUUUUUAAAAUUUGUUUGUUGCCCACUUAUUGUUACCUGAAUAAAAAGCAUGUUAGA